CAGGAACCGCGCCUGUCCCGGGCAGGCGGCCGCCAUCUCCCUGGCCGCCGCCUCCAAAAAGCGCCCGUGCAGCCCCAUGACGAUCAGCGCCCGCCCCGCCGGAAGGGCCGUGCCUGCCUCUGUGUUUGUUGCCACCUGGAAGAUUUCAACCAAGAACCCCACUUAAUGUUCGGAAGCGCCCAUACGAUGCACCCGUCCAGAUUUUAGCAACGGUGUACUUGGCCUUAUCACUCCGCAAAUGUGCUCCUAUUAAAAAUUAAAAA